rnacentral:rRNA from 1 species
UACGUAGGGGGCUAGCGUUGUCCGGAAUCAUUGGGCGUAAAGAGCGUGUAGGCGGUCCGGUAAGUCCGCUGUGAAAGUCGGGGGCUCAACCCUCGAAUGCCGGUGGAUACUGUCGGGCUAGAGUGCGGAAGAGGCGAGUGGAAUUCCUGGUGUAGCGGUGAAAUGCGUAGAUAUCAGGAGGAACACCGGCGGUGUAAACGGCUCUCUGGACCGUAACUGACGCUGAGACACGAAAGCGUGGGGAGCAAACAGG